rnacentral:rRNA from 1 species
ACACCCCGCUGCUCGCCAGGAUACUACAAGCCCCAGCUUAAAACCCAAAGGACUUGGCGGUGCUUUAGACCCCCCUAGAGGAGCCUGUUCUAGAAUCGAUAAUCCCCGAUCCACCUCACCCGUCUCUUGUUCAUUCCGCCUAUAUACCGCCGUCGUCAGCUUACCCCGUGAGGGUUUAAUAGUAAGCAGAGUUGGCAGAGCCCAAAACGUCAGGUCAAGGUGUAGCAUAUGAGCGGGGAAGAAAUGGGCUACAUUUACUGACCCAGUAAAUACGGACUAUGCCCUGAAAAGAGCAUAUAAAGGAGGAUUUAGCAGUAAGGCGGGAGUAAGAGCGCCCCCCUGAAAACGGCCCUGAAGCGCGCACACACCGCCCGUCACUCUCCCCAAAGGUCAUCUUCAGAUAAUUAACACCAAAUCACCAAAAAGGGGAGGCAAGUCGUAACAUGGUAAGCGUACCGGAAGGUGCGCUUGGGAAAACC